rnacentral:piRNA from 1 species
UUCUCUGCCUUCCAAAUGUUAAAAUCUUGCU